GAAAUUAGAUCGCCUAUUGAUUGCUCAUAUACAAUUACAUACAUCAUUAGCAAUACGCGGCAAAUGAGUAGCAUCGCGGCAGUGAGUAGCAUCGCGUCAUUGCUGUACUAAAACUAAAAAUUGCCGUAUUCGUAUUCCGCCAUUUUGAAAGCUGCGAGUCGAAAGUGGAAUUUGGACGCGUUGCUGGAUUCUCGAUUUCAAUAUGAAGCGCCAAAAAUGAUUGCAAUGUGUGAAUCGUCGUCUUGAAAAAGGUUUUGUUUCCGUUGAUUGAAAUUAAAGCAACUGCUACACGCAACGAAGA